AGGACUUUUUAUGUGUAAUAUGCCCUGUCGGGUACUAUGAAUUAAGUAGAGGUUUUGGGUACUUAGACUGUCCCACUUACUACUUUACAUUGUAGCAGAGUGCCAUUUCUUCAGUGCUGUCACAUAAAAAGAUAUAAUAAAAUAUUUACAAAAAUGUGAGGGGUGUACUCACUUUUGUAAGAUACUGUAUGUGUGUGUGUGUUUAUAGUUAUAUAUAUAUAUAAACCCUCAGGGGUUAAAACUUCAGUCAAUUUACAGAUGUAAUUGUUCUUCACCUUUUGGAUUAAAAUCACCAUUUGAAAAUGUUUCAAGUCCUGUGAGUGCACCCGUUAUAAAU